rnacentral:rRNA from 1 species
UGUAAGCGUAUACCAAAGUUGUUGCAGUUAAAACGCUCGUAGUCGGAAUUUGGCAGUUCCGGAUGUGUGCACGUCGUGUGCGCACUUCGCGGGGAUUGCUUUUGUGGUCUUGCGUAGGAUGAGGCACUGUUAUUAGUGAACGUCCUCACGCAACCACUUUUUACUGUGAGAAAAUCAGAGUGCUCAAAGCAGGCAUUUGCCGUGAAUGUAUUAGCAUGGAAUAAUAGAAUAGGACUUGGUUCUAUUUUGUUGGUUUGUUGGGACUGAGUAAUGAUUAAGAGGGACAGUUGGGGGCAUUUGUAUUUCGGUGCUAGAGGUGAAAUUCUUAGAUUACCGAAAGACAAACUGCUGCGAAAGCGUCUGCCAAGGAUGUUUUCAUUGA